GACAGAGGGUGCAAACGUUGUUCGGAAUUACUGGGCGUAAAGCGCGUGUAGGCGGCUAUGCAAGUCGGAUGUGAAAGCCCUCGGCUCAACCGGGGAAGUGCACCCGAAACUGCAAAGCUAGAGUCUCGGAGAGGAUCGUGGAAUUCUCGGUGUAGAGGUGAAAUUCGUAGAUAUCGAGAGGAACACCGGUGGCGAAGGCGACUUCCUGGCCUGUUCUUGACGCUGAGGCGCGAAAGCUAGGGGAGCAAACGGG
rnacentral:rRNA from 1 species